rnacentral:lncRNA from 1 species
UUGUUUAACAUUCCUUUUGCUAGUUGAAAGUGAACUUGGACUCUUUAUUUGCAGGGGAAGGCAUGUUGUCACGUCAUUUCUGCAUUUAGUAAUGCUCAUGUACUUGUAUUGCACCCUUGUUUUCCUUUCAUAAUUUGGUUAUCUGUGCUUAUGGACAUAAACUGCAUAAUGGUGUCUCUUUCGUCCUUAAUAAUGGAAUAAAUUGUUCAUUCUUCUCCGUGAUAAGGGGAAGAUUCAAAUUUUAUCUUGUUUGCAUU